UUAAUCUUGGAUUCAAAAAGCGAUCUUAUGCGUAAAAAGGUUGGAGACCACUGGUAUAGGAGGUCUUUCCUAUCUCAUCCCCCCCCUUUCCCUCUCAAUCCUCCCCCCCCCCCAUCUCCACCCCCGCUGUGGAGAGUCCAGGAAAGGAUUCCAUAGAUCAAAAUCAGCCUGGAAAAGUACACUGAGCAUCAGAAACUUGGUUUACACAGUUCUUGUAUUGAUUUAAUUAUUUUGAUUAGGCAUAUGAUUUUUUUAAACUAAAACCAUUAAAUUGAUACAAAUCCUAAUAUGGACACAAUUAUACUACUAUAACUUAUCCCUUUAAGCCUAUGGGAAUAAGAAUACCAGUAGCUGCAUGUUGAGAUCUGUAUUAACUGCAGCCACGCUAGUGGGGUUGUACUGCUUUAACUAUACCAUUAUAGUUAAAGCUGUACAAUUUUUGCAUGUAGAUAAGCCCAGAGAACUUGAUUCAUUUGAAUGCUGACACAAGGUAGAGUGUCUUCUGAUCCCUGGUAAUAAAAUUACUCUAUUUCAAACCAUUCAAAAGUCUGUACCUCUGAAUAUCUCAGAGCUCAAUCAAUGAAUUUCAAUGGUAAUAAAAAGCAUAUUUCUAUUUAAAAAAAAAAACCCUCUCAUUAAUGUGUCUGUAGCUAUAUACUUGAAUUGCUCCGUUCAAAUUGGAGCAUGAAAUAAGGAUAUUAGUCUUCAUAGUAAAACAGAUCAAACAAAUAUAGAGAUGGAAGACUCAUAGGUCAUAGUAGUUAGGAAAGGAAAAUACCUAUCCUCUGUCAGUGUAGUAUACAGUUCUCAAAAAAACAAAAUAAUAAUAUAAUUCUCCAAUAGAGGGUGUUUCUUGAUUGGAGAGACUGAUUUACUUCUGCGAUUACUUAAGCACCAAAAAUAGUACUUUCUGCUCCCUCCAUCUCCAAUCUCCUUCCAAAUCCUUACCUUGGGUAUUGCAGGGUUUCUUUGUUUCAAAUGGAAGAUCUGCACUAAGGAUCGUGGACAACUGGUUCUUUCUUUGCCUGAUGACCAUUUACAAUUUCUCACGCAGAAGAGCAAUUGUCUGUUCUGAGGAUUCAGAGGAAUACCCAAAUACCCCCAUUCCCUGAAGAAAAGUUCAAUUUUAGUGUGUUUUUAAAAUCUUCACAUUUCCUUAAGGGUAGAGUUAUAGUACUCUGAUGGCUGGAUUAGUUAAUGAAUGCUGCAAUUGGGAUCAUGGCAGAGUUGUUAAAAUUGGAGAAUAUCAGAAGUUGUAUUUCUGUAAACAGUCAGGAAAAUGUAAAAUCAGAACUCAUUCUGUAGCUGAUCUACAGUGCAUCUUUUACACUGAGCUCACUGGUGACAGAAUGGCAAACAAAAUUCAUCUUGGAGAAAGUGGACAAGCAGGUUUAUCUUGCAUUUUUAAUUUAUCACAAUCAAAAGAAAAAAUCAAAUUAGGCUGUUUGGAGUAGGAGAAGGUGCUGUAGUCUAGUAAACUAUAUAGUCAAAGAGCAGUUCUAGUUUGACCUGGAUGAGCAGAUCAUUUUUAAACAGACUCCCAAAUUCCUACUUGUCCUGUAAGAGAUGAUUUUAGUAGCCUUAACUUUAUAAUCUUACACUUCAAGACAUUUCUUUUACAGGUGACUAGAGCAACUGAUGUAAGACUUCGUAUGCAGAAAAUUUUUUAGUGUGCUGAAUAUUAUUUGCUGUAUAAAUGAAUUUAGCAAAAAGGAAUUUGUGCCAUGGUGAAGAGCUCAGUUAAGUAACUAGAUAUUUGUUUUUAGAAAAUGUAUAGCACUAUUUAAACCACAAAAAAUGUAAAACUUGAAAUUCCCAGAGAAAAUUAUCUGCAAUGGUAGCAUGCAUUUAAAAAAAGAAACUCUUGUAUUAUGCUUUGUCUACGUACACACAAACACACUGCAUUGUGUUAACUAAAUUUGAUUUUCAAAUAUAUUUCAUCUCAUGCCAAUUUAUGCAGAUACACUUAAAUCCAAACUAAAUUGAUAUAAGCCAUUUGUAAACUGAUAACAUUGUCAACAAAGGAAGAUGCACCAAUUUAACUAUAAUCAGUUUUUUAAUUUGUUUUAGUUAAACUGGUGCAAUUUUUGUCUUUAGACAAGGCGUUAAUCUACCAUUAUGUCUAACAGCAACAUUUUGACUCAAAUCUCAUUGCCAGUAACUUUCUACCAUAGCUUCCCUUUUCCCAUCUCUAGAAUUGAGUUGUAAAAUGUAGAAAAUAAGUUGUCAAAAAAGGAAAUUUCAAAACCCUAACCACUGCUGUCUUCUUCCCUGUUAAAUGUCCCAGUUCUUUAUUUCUUGCUUUCCUCUUUCUGUCUGCAUUUUUCCUCUCCAAAGUUCUCUUUUCUUCAUCUCUCCUUUUUAUACUUUCUCUCCUGGUGUCUUUUACUUUAACUGAAAAUUUAACUUUUGUAACAACCUUGACGAGAACUACAUUUUGUGUAUCCUCCCUUUCCCUUUGAUAUUUGUCUCUCUACUUCUUUUCUUUUGCUACCAUUCCAUUGUUCCUCUCCUGCUCCUUCUUUUUCCCUUUGUUACUCCUGGGGGACUUCUGCCCUACUGCGCCAUGCAUAAUUUUGCAGAAAUUAAUGUUUUUUGCACAGAAUUUCCUUUUCCUCACAGAAAUGGGCUGCAGUGCUGCUGGCUACUAUUAGGGGCCACUGGACAUGGCAGAGCCCAGCUCACACAUAGAAGACACUGCCAGAGGGAUUCCUGGCAGCUGCAGUUCCCAGCACGCACUGGGGGAAGUAGGCGGCGGCAGCGCGCAGUGGUUUCAGUGCCACUAGAUGGGACAGAACACCACACCCAGAAGGUGUGUGGAUUACACAGACCUCUGGGAUACCUGUCUUGAAGAGCUGUGGUAGCUUGUCAUCAGUAUUGUUAGUUCUUUGAAGUCAUGGGUCCUGGGCUCCCAUUCAUGCACCAUGCUAUGACAUCAAAGCUGCCAAGUACUUCUCCUGGAGGAUUAAGAUAGCCUAUGGGUGAAUGGAGUCACCUUUAAAAUAUGGACAUAUUUGAUCAAAGUCCAACAAUUCUGAAUUUAUCUUGGCAGGUUGUUUAGCUCAGGAAAGUACUACCAUAGUAAUAAAGAUAUUGUCUUUAGUCCAUUAACUGAUUCAUGUGGAAAAAUUCUGAAGAUCAUGUAGUGUAAUGUCAGCAAAGAAUUCCCCAUGCUUGAAAAAUUACCUUUCCAAGCUCUGUGCAGCUUUGUCCUCAGAAUUUGUCCUAUUGUCUUCAGAAUAUUUCUGUUACUAGUAUCUCAGACUGUAUAGUGUCAUCUUUUUGCAUUUUCUAAGUUCCUUUCUGAUAAGUUAAUAAGUUCCUUACUAAGCAACUGCUGCACAGAACUAAGCAACUAACUGCAUCAGAAUUGCAAAAGAAUUUGUGUGAUUUUGUUAUGGAGUGAACAAGAACCACAAUGCAAUACAAAGCAAGAGUUGACGGGCACUUGGAGGAUGGUAUAAUUUCAUCCCGUUGUCACAAAUAGAUCGGAAGUGUUAUUCUUGCAUUCAGCAAUGACUUUAAGUUGUUGAUGUGAAUUUUCUGGACACUGCAACUGCAUCAGCUGAUUUUAAGGGCUCAUAACACAAAGACUGAGUUACAUCACGACAGUUACUAAGGACUGUGUAGUGACUUCAGUCUGCUCACGGAGUGAAGGCAGUAUAUGGCUCUAAAAUAGUCUGUAAUGCCUGAUAGAUUUGUUCCUCAGGGAAUCCCUUAUAUGAAGAAUGUUGUUCAUUUUAGACCCCAAAAUUACAGCUAUUCUACAUAAACGUGCUGGUAUUGCAGCUUUUAUUGUUGUAAAUUAUUUAUCUCAGAUAAGUUGAAUCUUCAUUAUAAAAAGUCUUGCUCUGAGGAAAUGAAUCCCACAAUGUUUAAAGCUUGUUGCUGUAUCUGUCAUUUUGUCCUUUUUGGGGCAGGAGGAAGGGUUCUGUACUUGAGCCUUGGGAGAUUGAGGUACAUACCAAUAAAUGCCAGUUACUUUUUUGAAACUGUUUUUGAAAACUCAUCUAAUACCUCACAUUAUCUUACCUAACAGUCUCAUUCCCAAAAGAAAACAGCCACACAAUUUGGAGAGAUAGAAAAGAUUACGGUUUUUCUGGCGUGGCUUAUAAUUAUAACUAAAUUCAGAGACACGUUGCACAAAUGAGAACAUGGCCAGAGGACAGAUUCUAAAGCCAAGGCAGUUAAGCCACUCUACAAGCGCAAGAGACAGACAGACAGACAUCAGUCGUGUGAUGUGACUGGGGUAGUUUAUUUGCCACUUCAGGGAAGGAAAUCAGCCAAUGAGAGGUAGAUGUUCACAAACCCAAAGAGUCACGUAACAAACAAUCUUGUAACUCAGGCCACCCUUUCUGAUGAAUUUGACUGUGCAUUAUACACUAGAAAACUUGUCUUAUCUAUUAUUUACUCUUUUUAUGGCAUUUACACUUCUACAUUUAAUAAUUUUAUAAUAAUUUCAUCUGAGGAUUUCUAAGUGCUUUACAAACACUAAUUAUUCCUCACAGAUAGGCUGUUGUUGUUCUCAUUUUACUCAUAAGGAACCUGAAGCACAAAGUUCUGCAAGGUCAUUCAAAGCUUCUCAGAUGUGUGCUCUAACACUAGACCCUACUGCCUUCCAUGACACGGAGUGGUAUAAUGGAUUGAUCAGCAUUCAUUGCGGAUAUAUGUAUUUAGAGUGUUUGUGUAUAUUUAAUUGCUUUUCCAGGUACAGUAUAUGAUAUGAAAUUAGCAUGGCGUUUUUGCUUCCUUAUAUGUGUAAUGAGAUGAGUUAUGCCAGCUGAGUUCUAAGAAUGUUUAUUAGUAGUGGUUGCUGCUGGAGCAGAGGAGAAAGCUCAGACAUUUUUGUUACCUUUAUGAUUUAAAAAAUAUUCACUGUCAUGGUGACUAAAUUGUAAAAAAGAAAUCUUUAGUAUCCAGAGGAUAUUGCCCAACAUAUGUCAUUUUAAAGUGGGUGAAAUUUUGGGCCCAUAUUACUUGCUAAUUGUAUGGUGUUCGGGGUCUUUAGCUUACUUCUGAUGCUUACUCAAUAAAGACCUGAUCCUGCAAGGUACUGAGGACUUCUUGUGACUUUACUGUGAGUUGAGGGUUCUCAGAACUACCCAGGAAGUGCUCCGUAUUGUGCAAGAUUCAGCCUGAAGAGCAGAGGCAUGUUUUGCCAGAACAUUUGUACCAUCUGUGACAUUGGAGGUUUUUAUAACUUUUCAGGGAAAAGGUGUGUACUCGACAGAGCUUCAAAUUGUGUUGAGAACAACACCCAGAAAAGGUAUUGAGAGUCACAGUGAGCAAAAUAUAGACACAAGGGCUAAUUUAACUCUUCAUGGACUCUGGAUUGAAACAAAAUUACAGCUCCAUAUUUAACUGCAAUAGUAUGAGAGAGACAUAUAUCAAGGGUCUGAUUUCCAUUACUCAUCUGCUUUAACUUCCAAGUCAACAACUAGUCUGUUGAGAUGCCUGGACUGGGGCAUUAGCAUUGUGAUAUCUUUUUGCUGACUAGCAGAAGUGUUUUACUUCACCUAAUCAUUUUGGCUUACACACACUAGUCUUAUUUAUACAACAUUUAGAGUGUGCUAAGUGCUGUACAAACUGAUCAGACUGUUCCUGCCCCAAAAGAGCUUACAGUCUAUAAAUUUACAGUCAUGCUACUGUCUUUUCCUAGAUUAUGCAGUUUAUUAAUGUCAAGAAUAAAUUCAGGAAUUGAUAGGUUAAUGGAUCCCUUUUCUUUUGAGAAUACUCUAACAGUCUUGAUGUAUAAGGUUCCAAACAAUUAGUCAAUGGUACUAAUAAAAGCAUUAGCAACUUUGCCAUUACUCUUAAUUUGCUGAGUCUGUUCCCUUUGCAUCUCCUUGGUGUGACUUCCAUUUUAAGCUAAGAGACACACUAUGGGUUUUACUGCAGACAACAAAUAUGAUUUGUGUGAAAAUCUUAAACCGUUUUUUAAUCUGGGCUGUUAAUUACUGAUAUUUGAAUUAUUAUGCAUGCCAGUCUUUUCCUGUUUGUGAGAUGAGUAUCUGAGACUGGUAAGGACUAAUGAACGUUAUUAGACUAUGAAUUUUUGCUCUCCUUUAAUUCAGACUAUGUCAGGGCACACCUUGGCAUGUGAGACGAAAGUGUUCAAACACUGUCGUAACAGUAUUCAGAGAAUUUGUCAAGCUGGGGAGAAUGCAGCAAUGUCCCAGUUUUCUACCUCCUGCCUAACUCUUGUAGUUUAGAGUGAAGUGCUGCUACCCCAAACUCUCAUAUAAAGGUUUAAUCUGGUUUCUUUUAAUUAGAGGUGGUGAGGGAGAGAAUGUUUCCCUGCAUAAUCAUGGAUGAACAGCAUGUGUCUCAUGCAUUCACUACUGGUCCUCACACCCAGAUAUCAUGAAAGCUGUGAAUACCGAAUGUGAGAACUGUAAGGUCUUUCAUUUAAUUCUUUAUUUUAGCUGAGGUAGAUCAGCCAGAUUCUCUAGAGUAUUAUAAGCACUUGCUGCCAGCAUAAUACGACUAUGUUCUGGAAUAUGAUAGAGAGUGCUAAAAAUUCUGAACUACAAGGUCAAACCCUGAAUGCUUCCAGAUAUGCAGUGCAGAAUCAUAUUAUUUUAUGAUUUCAGGAAUUUUCUGUCUCUGUCACAGAUUAGAGUUUUAGGGAAAUGCAGAUCCCCAAUAGGUUUAAAAAUGUGAUUUCACUAUUUUAGUUUCUCUGCCACCGUAUUCUCUAAUUACCCUUUCGUUUGUGCAGCCAAUUUUGUGAUACCUAAUCUCUUGACAGAAAAGCAGACCUACUCAGCUUCCUAGGAGCAGAUACCAAAACUCCCAGAAGUCUUAGGCCUGGUCUACACUACGAGUGUAGGUCGAAUUUAGCAGCAUUAAAUCGAAUUAAGCCUGGACACGUUCACACGGCUAAGUCCCUUUUUUCGACUUAAAGGGCCCUUUAAACCGGUUUCUUUACUCCACCUCCGUCCGACGAGGGGAUUAGCGAUAAAAUCGGCCUUAGCAGGUUGGAAUUCAGGUAGUGUGAACGGAAUUCGACGUUAUUGGCCUCCGGGAGCUAUCCCACAGUGCUUCAUUGUGACUGCUCUGGACAGCACUCUGAACUCAGAUUCACUGACCAGGUAGACAGGAAAAGCCCCGCGAACGUUUGAAUUUCAUUUCCUAUUUGCCCAGCGUGGAGAGCACAGGUGACCACGCAGAGCUCAUCAGCACAGGUAACCGUGAUGGAGUCCCAGGAUCGCAAAAGAGCCCCAUCAUGGACCGAACGGGAGGUAUGGGAUCUGCUCGCCAUAUGGGGAGAUGAAUCAGUGCUAGCUGAACUCUGUAGCAGUAAACGAAAUGGCAAAAUAUUAGAAAAGGUCUCCAAGGCCAUGAAGGACAGAGGCCAUAACAGGGACGCACAGCAGUGCCGCGUGAAAAUUAAGGAGCUAAGGCAAGCCUACCACAAAGCCAGAGAGGCAAACGGAAGGUCCGGGGCAGAGCCGCAAACAUGCUGCUUCUACGCGGAGCUGCAUGCAAUGCUAGGGGGUGCAGCCACCACUACCCCAACCGUGUGCUUUGACUCCAUCAAUGGGGAAUCAUGCAACAGGGAAGUGGGUUCGGGGUACAAGGAAGAUGAGGAUGAAGACAAUGAAGAUAUCUCACAGCAAGGAAGCGGAGAAACUGGUUUCCCCAACAGCCAGGAUAUGUUUAUCACCCUGGACCUGGAACCAGUAACCCCCGAACUCGCCCAAGGCGUGCUCCCAGACCCUGAGGGCACACAAGGGACCUCUGCUGCAAAUGUUUCUCCUUCGCAGAGGCUAGCGAAGAUUAGAAGGAGAAAACGGCGGACUCGGGAUGAUAUGUUCUCGGAGCUCCAGAUGUCCUCUCACGCUGAAAGAGCACAGCAGAAUGUGUGGAGGCAGUCAAUGACUGACUACAGAAAAGCACAAUAUGAAUGAGAGGAGAGGUGGCGGGCUGAAAAUGAUAGGUGGCAUCAGCUUGUAGACAGAAGGCAAGAGUCGAUGCUCCGGCUGCUGGAGCAUCAAACUGAUAUGCUCCAGCGUAUGGUUGAGCUGCAGGAAAGGCAGUAGGAGCAGAGACCGCCGCUACAGCCCCUGUGUAACCAACAGCCCUCCUCCCCAAGUCCCAUUGCCUCCUCACCCAGAUGCCCAAGAACACGGUGGGGGGCCUCCGGCCACCCAGUCACUCCACCCCAGAUGAUUACCCGAGCAUGGGAAGGUUGGCCUUCAAUAAGUGCUAAAGUUUUAAACUGCAGUGUGUCCUUUUCCUUCCCUCCUCCCCCACCCCUCCCGGGCUACCUUAGCAAUUAUCCCCCUAGUUGUGUGAUGAAUUAAUAAAGAUUGCAUGAA